rnacentral:rRNA from 1 species
UACGGAGGGGGCAAGCGUUGUUCGGAUUUACUGGGCGUAAAGGGCUCGUAGGUGGCCAAUUAAGUCUGACGUGAAAUCCCCAGGCUCAACUUGGGAACUGCGUCUGAUACUGGUUGGCUUGAAUUCGGGAGAGGGAUGCAGAAUUCCAGGUGUAGCGGUGAAAUGCGUAGAUAUCUGGAGGAAUACCGGUGGCGAAGGCGGCAUCCUGGGCCGAGAUUGACACUGAUGAGCGAAAGCCAGGGGAGCAAACGGG